rnacentral:misc_RNA from 1 species
UCCUAGUUAACCUAGGCAGUCUCAUUAGAGUGCCCAACCGAAUUGCUGGCAACUAAUGAUAAGGGUUACGCUCGUUGCGGGACUUAACCCAACACCUCACGGCACGAGCUGACGACAGCCAUGCAGCACCUGUGCAGCAGUCCCUUGCGGGAAAACGACAUCUCUGUCGCGGUCUACUACAUGUCAAGUCUGGGUAAGGUUCUUCGCGUUGCAUCGAAUUAAACCACAUGCUCCACUGCUUGUGCGGGUCCCCGUCAAUUCUUUUGAGUUUAACCCUUGCGAGUGUACUCCCCAGGCGGUAUACUUAUCGCGUUAGCUACGGCACAACUGGGGUUGAGUCCAGUUACGCCAAGUAUACAUUGUUUACGGCAAGGACUAC